CAUCUUCAAUCUAGAUAAGGCCUUAACCUGAACGCCAAAGGUCCCAAACCUUUCAUAUUGAAACUUGUGUGAUACAAAACAACAGGAUGACACGUGUAACAAUCUGCUUAUUAGCUAUUUUCCUGGUACAAAUAGUAUCUUCGGCGAAUAUCCAUAUGUGUAAUGACUUGGAUGUAUCGGCUUGUCGCUUGCCCUGCCCGUAUGGCACAAUGAAUGAUUGCCAGUCUGGGAUAUGCACGUGUAAACUGACAGGCGCGCUAUGUACCAACAGAGAAGGGUGUUUGAAGGCCUGUGGACAUCGCCAUGCUGAAUGCUACGGAAACACAUGUCACUGUAUAUAGACAGCUUCAGUUUUACAUCAAAUUAGAUAUUGCAUUUCACUAUGAUAUUAUACAUUAGGAAUGACUCAUGAUUAAAACCAUCCAUACAAUCAA